rnacentral:rRNA from 1 species
GACGAACGCUGGCGGCGUGCUUAACACAUGCAAGUCGAACGGAAAGGCCCUGCUUCUGUGGGGUGCUCGAGUGGCGAACGGGUGAGUAACACGUGCGUAACCUGCCCUUGACUUUGGGAUAACUUCAGGAAACUGGGGCUAAUACCGGAUAGGAGCUCCUGCUGCAUGGUGGGGGUUGGAAAGUUUCGGCGGUUGGGGAUGGACUCGUGGCUUAUCAGCUUGUUGGUGGGGCAGUGGCUUACCAAGGCUUUGACGGGUAGCCGGCCUGAGAGGGUGACCGGCCACAUUAGGACUGAGGGACGGCCCAGUAGCCUACGGGAGGCAGCAGUGGAGAGUAUGGCACAAUGGGCGGAAGCCUGAUGCGACGACGCCGCGUGCGGGAUGACGGCCUGCGGGUUGAAAACCGCUUUCGCCGUAGACGAAGCGUUAUUGACGGUAAUGAGUAAAGAAGCACCGGCUAACUACGUG